GGAAUGAAUGCUCUGAAGGGUAGAAUUUAAGACGACUUGAUCUUCGUGGCAUUUAAUUUCAUUAAAUAAAACACAACCACCCACAAACAAUCUUAAUUGAACGGGGUGAGCAAUUACUUGUACAAUAUCAUAUUAAUAUAUAUUAAAAAUAACAAGGGGCCAAGCACACUGCCUUGAGGAACACCGGAAGUAACUGCAAUCGUUUCAGAAAG
rnacentral:lncRNA from 1 species